UUCUCAUUUAACAUGGAAGAUGAGUUCUUUGGAGAAAAGAGUUUCCAACAUUACUGUGCAGAGUUCAUCCGACAUUCACAACACAUAGGUGACGGUUGGGAGUGGAGAGCAGCCAAGGAAUGUUCUGAUGGCUACAUGUGCAAAACACAGUUUCAAAUAAGAACCGGGACUACGCCACCACAUCUGGGAACACCUGCCAGUGUACACCCGUGUCUUCCUGCAGAGGAGAAUUUAGAGCUACCGAUGGACGAUUGUGAAGUGACGGGGUCUGCUGCAGCAUCCGAAGUGAUUAAAUAUGAGUAUCAUGUCCUGUACUCCUGUAGCUACCAAGUGCCAGUUCUUUACUUUAGGGCAAGCUUUUUAGAUGGGAGACCACUAGCCCUGAAGGAUAUAUGGGAAGGAGUCCAUGAAUGCUACAAGACAAGGCUGGUGCAGGGGCCGUGGGACACCAUCACCCAGCAGGAGCAUCCAAUUCUUGGGCAACCAUUUUUUGUUUUACAUCCCUGCAAGACAAAUGAAUUCAUGACUGCCGUGCUAAAGAAUUCACAGAAAAUCAAUAGAAAUGUCAACUACAUCACUUCAUGGCUGAGUAUCGUGGGACCUGUUGUUGGUCUGCAUCUACCACUGAGCUACGCUGAAGCAUCAUCACAGGCUGAGUGAUUCGUAAGCAAGCAAGAUUUUCUGCUGAUCCUAGGAACUACGGCAUGUAGCAAGGAAGCAUUGGUUUUCACGGAAAUGGGACUGCAAUAUCUCAUGGCACCCAGAUUUUGUGGGAGUUCUUUCCUUGGAAAACAUCUGCAGAAACCUGUUUGGAAUAGUGCUUGUGUGGAAGGAACAUGCCACAGAGUCAGAUCAGAUCCUUUCUACCCACCUAAUCCAAAGGAAGGAAGGAAGAGAAAUGCUCAAACAAAGCAAAAUGAGACAUAAACCUACAAAGACACGACCAGGAGUUGCAGUGGCCCUGGUCUCCUCACAGCAAUAGAAACCCUCAGACAGAAGUUGUUACUAGUGUUGCUGUGAUAAGCCUGACCGUGCUUUCGUUUGGAGGCUUCGUGCUAGAAAAGCAAUCAGACACUUGAAGCCCAAGUUUCAAGUAGGAUCAUUGAAGACAGUGGUGAUUUGAACUGCGGGAGUUCAGCUCAAGAUGUUCUGCUGGAGAAGAAUAUUAGUAAGUGGCCUAAAGAUCACUCUUGUAAUAUUUUGGCAAGGAAUGUGGCUGUUUUCUGCCCUUUAAAAAAAAAAAUCUGCCUAAGGUUAAAUUGAAGAACAGUUAAGGAUUAACAGCACUGGCGGAGGAAAUUUCUGCACAGCCUAGUAUUCACUGUGUUGUGUGGGGGUUUUAGUGGCCAGUCUUAUUCAGAUCUAUAAUGAAAAGGAGCAAGGUAAGCAAGGAAAAAAUUAAAAGUGUCCAGUUUGAGGAGAAAGGAGGCACCAGGAAGUAUAAUGGAACCAAAUCUAUUAAUCCCAUCAGGCGAGAACAAGAGUACCACUACAGUUUUUUAGUCAAAUCUGAAAUGAGCGUUAUUAAAUACUGGCCACGAUGAUGGACACAAGCCAGCCAGCUCCUGACCUGUGACUCCUAGAGAGGCACAUGUUGGUCAUGAGUAUACAAAGGCUUACAAGGCUGCUGACGUCUUGCUUUCAGAAGCAAGCACACAUCCUGACAUACUUCCUGCCUACAUGCUUCCCACAUACAUGUGAUCACGCACAUCCUGUGCACUGGGCAACCAACCUUGUUUGCAAAAGUGGAAAUACGUGUCCUGUGUUAUGUGAACAUUUCCCAGUUUUUUUGCCUACUCAUCUAUUGGGCCCAGGGUGUGGAAUGGGGUGGUCUGAAUGAAAAUGGUCCCUUAUAGGCUCAUAGGGAGUGGCAUGAUUUGAAAGGGUUAGGACAGGUGGCCCUGUUGGAUGAGUGUGACCCAACUAAAACAGGCUCCCUUCACAGAGUUGAACAGUAACUAAGACAGGUCAGCCCUUUAUCACUUCUGCUCUUCCUCACAAAUACCUGCUCUCUGCCAGAGCUUCAGCCAGCCGCAGCUGACAGGUCUUGAAUCAUGCGUGAGUCAAGCCUUUUCCCUUAUAAAUGAAUCUCAGGUGUCCUGCUAGGGCAAGAAAAACAGUGCAACCUGUGGCCAGAGAUGGCUUUGUGAAAGUGGGGUGUAACAGCGUGAGGCUGUGUUCCCUGGGAAGCACAUGCCCGGGCCACAUCUGCAGGUAAGGACCAAACUCUCAGAAAAAGAAGUAGGAAAGGGUUAAUUUAAACUGCUAGAAAAGCUACAAGUAAAUUUAAAAUGCUGAGCUGCUCAUAUUCCUGCUAGGAGGAGAGCCUGAGUAUAUGCUUGCUGGGCACUCUGCUGUUCACCACUCAACAUCUUUGCAGCUUCUGCAAGGGAGUUUUCCCUGCACCCUCCUUAAUAUGAACAAAGAUUUCUCAGCAAAUCAUUUCCUAAGCCUUCUUGUGUGUGUGUGCGCGCGCGCGCAUGUGUGUGUGUGCGCAUGUGUGUAUAUAGUGUGUGUGCAUGUAUGUGUAUAUGUAUGCAUAUGUGUAUAUGUGUGUGUUUAUCAUGUUAUGCUUGUGUGUAUAUAUGCAUAUAUGUAUGCAUGUUUGUCUGUGUGUGUGUAUGUUCUGAAUAAUGUAUUUAUCUGGAAGCACUAGUUACCUUUUGCUAACAAGCUCUGAAAUAUUAACCUAACAGCUCAGACCUAGUUUAGAUUUGAUUUGUGCUUUGUCCUUCUGGUACUGUGGAUUGAACGAAGGGCCUUGCACGUGCUAAACAAGCUAUUCUAUGCCUCUUUUUACUCUUUGAGAUGGAGUUGCCCAGGUUGGCCUUGAACUCACUUUAUAGCCCAGGAGGGCCUUGAACUCCUGGUCUUCCUGCAUCUGCCUCCCUAGUAGCUGUGACUAUAGGGUUGUGCCACAAGUACUGACUCAUUAGGAACUUUCAGUGUUUGCUCCUCCUUGGCCUCUCCCCUUGUUCAUGAUAGACUGUAACUCAUUGAAGGUGAGAACACUAUUUUGGGGCAUGACAUAGUGGCAUGCCCAUUAAUUCCAGGAGGUGGCCAACAAAAAUAUACUCUAUAUGUGAAAAGAUAAACUAAAGUUGACACAUAUAUUAAGGGGGAGCAUUGGGCAAGGGGAAAAUUGUGAUCAGACUAAAUUGUAUGAUUCUUUUCAAUUAAAAAAUUUCUAGGAAUAUUACUCAGUGGUAAAAAACAAGGAAAUCAUGAAAUUUGCAGGUAAAUGGUGGGAACUGGAAAAGAUCAUCCUGAGUGAGGUAUCCCAGAAACAGAAAGACACACAGGGUAUAUACUCACUUAUAAGUGGGUAUUAGACAUAUAAUAUAGGAUAAACAUACUAAAAUCUGUACACCUAAGAAAGCUUAUCAGGAAGGAGGACUCUGGCUAAGAUGCUCAAUCCCCAUUCAGAAGGAAAAGAGGAUGGACAUCAGAGGAGGGAGAAAACAGAGAACAGGAUAGGAGCCUACCACAGAGGGCCUCUGAAAGGCUCUACCCUGCAAGGUAUUGAGGCAGAUGCUGACUCAUAGCCAAACUUUAGGCAGAGUGCAGGGAAUCUUAUGAAAGAAGUGGGAGAUUGUAAGACCUGGAGAGGACAGGAGCUCCACAAGGGGAGCAACAGAUCCAAAAAGUCUGAUGGGUCUUUUCUAAAACUGAUAUUCCAGCCAAGGACCACUCAUGGAAAUGGCCUGGAACCCCUGCAGAGAGGUAGCCUAUAGCAGUUCAGUAUCCAAGUGGCCUCCAUAGUAAUGGGGACAGGGACUGUCUCUGACAUGAACUGAUUGGCCUGCUCUUUGAUCACCUCCCCGCUGAGGGGGAGCAGCCUUACCAGGCCACAGAAGAAGACAAUGCAGCCACUUCUGAUGAGACCUGAUAGACUAUAAUCAGAGGGAAGGGGAGAAGGACCUCCCUUUUCAGUGGACUGGGAGAGGGACAUGGGUGG